rnacentral:other from 1 species
GACCGCCUGCGAUGAACGAGAUUUAUUGAAGGACUCUCGGCCCUUAAUUUUAUAUAUAGGGAUCAAUGUCUGCAUUGGUUUUGAGCAUUACCUCUUAUGGGAAGCCUGCUCCAAUGCGUCAGAACCCACCUUAAUUGCUUUGGCCUGAGAGCAACAAUAAAUUACGUCAUUGUGGACGGUUU